AUCCACCAGAGGGAAAUCAGUUCAGGGAAAUCUCUAUAGAGGCAAAUGAACCAUCCUCUUCCUGAAUGGCUUGUGAAAAGAGCUGGAGGCACUGGCAAAAAUGCCUUCAUGCUUCAGGAAGGAGAAGGAAAAAUGUCAGAGCAGCCAAAUAUUAGCCAGCAACUGUAGUCCCUGCAGAAGAAACGCCAACAUCAGCCAAGCAGCAACAAAUCAUUCACAUUCACAGGCAGUGAAGGCAGAAGAGGAGAACCUGAGCACCUCCAAGACAUUUGACAGCAAUUUAAGCAUUACUGUGGCUGAAAUCUUCCUUACGUGCUAAGUGUGGACAUGAUUCAGUGUUGAUUCAGUGAAUGACAGCAUCUUGUAACUUGAAGCUUCUUCUCCCUGAUGAAUAAUUUGCAAUAAAGUCCUUUUAUGAGGAAAUCUCCCACCUCGGGAUUCUCUCGGAUAGGAUGGAUGAUUCACGCGCUGCUCUGCUGCCACUUCCUCAGGCUACAGCUGGGGACUUUAUAUAGAAAAUCGUCUCAGACAGAUUGUGCCGGGGAAACUCUUUUAUGACCCAGAAUAUACUCUCUGCACAGUAUUUGUUUCAUUGUCAGGGGCACAGACUUCCUGAGUUCCAUCCCCUCUCCCCAGCCUCCAGCUGCCCGACGUCAGCAGAAUUUCCUUGCAUGCCUGGGAUGCUUGGAAUUGUUGGGGCUUAGCUAGGAAACAGAGGGGAUUUGGGGAAACAAGGGUAAGAUUCAGUUUUGUUUCCGACAGAAGGAAUUUGCUACCGGACACCACUUUGUUUUGCACAGCCCAUGUUUACUCCCCAUUUCUCCACAGUUCAUCUGACCACUCAGGCUGCUGCAGUCCCUGAAGCAGAUGUUUCCUGCCCAGAUCCUGCUCUGUAAGAAAUGGUGAGGUAGAAUAUGCCCCAAUAAAAAUG